ACUCCUAGGAGAAGAAUUCAUUUUACUUACUUCCUCAUUUGUGGAUGUUGUCUUGAACUGACAACAUGGGUUCCGACAAUUAGUGCAACCUCUCCUCUUGCAUGGGCAACUUUUGCACUUCCCCCUGUUUUCACAGGGACAACAAUGCUGAAUAAAAAUAUUAAAAUUUACUCAUUAAAACAUAUAAUAUUCAUGUAGUUUUGAUGUAUGAUGUAUGAAUUCAUUAAAAGGUUUAUGUUUUUUAUAAUAUAUUGUUAUGUUAUAUAUUAUAAUGUAUCAACAAAAUACAGUUUCAAUAUGUAAAAGUUUUUAGGGUGCCCAUGUCUGUAAUAUUAGUAAUUAUAACUUUUUAAUUUUGUAUGGUAUAGAUAAGAGAGAAAAUUCAUGCAUUUUUUUUUUUACAUCUAUCUUUUUUUAUGAAGUUUGCUUACUACUUGUAUGUAGAAAAUAAGAAACAUGAAAACUUGUGUAUUCUGAACAUCAAUCUAAUAUUUAUGAAGCUUGCAUAUGUGUUGUAUGUAGCUGAUGUUUAUUGAAAUAUGAUUAUGAUUUACUUCAGAUAAUAAUUCCUGUUCUGUCAUGAAUGAAAAAUGAUAUUAUUUUACCAUAUUAUUUUUAUUGAAUAAAGGCAUUUUAUUGC
rnacentral:sRNA from 1 species